CGUUGCUCGGAAUUACUGGGCGUAAAGCGCACGUAGGCGGAUUGUUAAGUCGGGGGUGAAAUCCUGGAGCUCAACUCCAGAACUGCCUUCGAUACUGGCGAUCUCGAGUUCGGGAGAGGUGAGUGGAACUGCGAGUGUAGAGGUGAAAUUCGUAGAUAUUCGCAAGAACACCAGUGGCGAAGGCGGCUCACUGGCCCGAUACUGACGCUGAGGUGCGAAAGCGUGGGGAGCAAGCAGG
rnacentral:rRNA from 1 species